rnacentral:lncRNA from 1 species
UUUCAUUUCCUUAACAACUUGUAAAUCCUCAUAUACUGCUCUUACGCCUGAAUAGUUUCUUAUACAUGCUUCUGCUAACUGCUCAUCAUCGUAAAUAUCGUACCAGUCUUUUUUUGUUUUAACUUGUUUAUGAUCUCACCCUUUGUAUUAUUAAUGGUCCUGUUUUUCUUGUGCUGCUUCCUUCUUUUGAGCAUUUCUCGAAUAUCGUCUAAGUUAGCAUUAUCCCCCCAAAGAAUAGGAUCAUUGUCUUCUUUCAAAACAUAAUCACAUACAGUC